CGCGGGUUGAAAAUGAGCUAUUUUUGCAUAAUUCUAUAAAUUAUUGAAUAUAGCAAAAAUAGCUCAUUUUCAACCCGC